CUGGACUCCGUUGAGCCAGAGCCAGCUAUGUCCACCCACCGUGCCGACAGUCUGGCUGCUCUUGAGCAUGAGCUGUCUCAUGCCAACAAAGCUGCUGACUGUCUGGCUUCUCUCAAGGCUGAGCCAACCAUGUCCACCCAGCCUGCUGACAGUUCGGCAGCUGUUGAGCCUGAGCCUACAAUUUCCACCAGAGCUGCUGAUUGUCUGGCUACUGUUCCGCCGGAGCUAACUAGGUCAACCCACCCUGCUGCCUGUCUGGACUCUGUUCAGCCUGAGUCAUCUAUGUCCACACACCCUGCUGAUAAUAUGGCUACUGAUGAGCUUGAGCCUACAAAUUCGACGAACGCUACUUACUGUCUGGCUGCUCUUGAGCCUGAGUCGACUAAAUCCUCCAAUGCUGCUGACUGUCUGGCCUAUGUUGAGCCAGAGCCAGGUAUGUCCACCCACCGUGCCGACAGUCUGGCUGCUCUUGAGCAUGAGCUGUCUCAUGUCAACAAAGAUGCUGACUGUCUGGCUUCUCUCAAGGCUGAGCUGAUUAAUUCCAUCAAUGCUACUGAUUGUCUGGCUUCUGUUGGGACUGAGACAACCAUGUCCACCCAGCCUACUGACAGUUUGGCAGCUGUUGAGACUGAACAUAAUUCCACCAAUGCUGCUGAUGGUCUGGACUCUGUUGAACAAGAGCCAGCUAAGCCCACCCACCGUGCCGACAGUCUGGCUGCUCUUGAGCAUGAGCUGACUAAUUCCAACAACACUGCUGACUGUCUGGCUUCUCAGAAGGCUGAGUCAAUUGAUUCUACCAAUGCUACUGAUUGUUUGGCUUCUGUUGGGACUGAGACAACUAUGUCCACCCACCCUGCUGACAAUAUGGCUACUGAUGAGCUUGAGCCUACACAUUCCACCAAUGCUGCUUACUGUCUGGCUGCUCUUGAGCCUGAGUCUACUAAAUCCUCCAGUGCUGCUGACUGCCUGGCCUAUGUUGAGCCAGAGCCAGCUAUGUCCACCCACCGUGCCGACACUCUGGCUGCUCUUGAGCAUGAGCUGUCUCAUGACAACAAAGAUGCUGGCUGUCUGGCUUCUCUCAAGGCUGAGCUGAUUAAUUCCACCAAUGCUACUGAUUGUCUGCCUUCUGUUGGGAC
ensembl:lncRNA